GCGGCGAUGGCGAAAUUGGUAGACGCACUACCUUGAGGUGGUAACGCUCGCAAGGGCAUGGGAGUUCGAAUCUCCUUUGCCGCA
rnacentral:tRNA from 1 species